rnacentral:rRNA from 1 species
UACAGAGGUCUCGAGCGUUGUUCGGAUUCAUUGGGCGUAAAGGGUGCGUAGGUGGCGCUGUAAGUCGGGUGUGAAAUCCCUCAGCUCAACUGAGGAAGUGCGCCCGAAACUGCAGAGCUUGAGUACCGGAGAGGAUGGUGGAAUUCCCCAAGUAGAGGUGAAAUUCGUAGAUAUGGGUGAGGAACACCAGUGGCGAAGGCGGCUAUCUGGACGGUUUCUGACGCUAAGACGCGAAAGCGUGGGGAGCAAACAGG